GACGAACGCUGGCGGCGUGCCUAAUACAUGCAAGUCGAACGCAGUGGGGACGGGUGAGUAACCCGUGGGUAACCUCCCAUCAGAGGGGAUAACACUUCGAAACAGGUGCUAAACCGAUACUGAUGGAUGGACCCGCGGUGCAUUAGCUAGUUGGUGAGGUACCGGCUCACCAAGGCCACGAAGCAUAGACGGCAUGGGAGGGGGACCGGCCAAACUGGGACUGAGCCACGGCCCAGACUCCGACGGGAGGCAGCAGUAGGGAAGAUGCGGCAAUGGACGAAAGUCUGACCGAGCAAUGCCGCGUGAGUGAAGAAGGUUUUCGGAUCGUAAAACUCUGUUGUUAGAGAAGCGGUAUCUACCCAGGAAGCCACGGCUAACUACGUGCCAGCAGCCGCGGUAAUUC
rnacentral:rRNA from 1 species